CUAAUCCAUACUGGACUCCAGGUAUGUAGUUGGAACUGGCUUGGUAUCCAUGUGGACAGUCUUUUGUACCCAGGGGGAGGAGUCAAGGGUGAAGAAGACGAAGAUAUGUCCAAGAGUUUUAACGGAUCAUAGUCCAGUUUGGAUGGUAUUGGAGUAUGGAAAGGGAUUUAAGAGGUCUUGGACGUUAAAUGAAAAUCUGUUUAGAUAUGAGGAAAAUGUAAAAGAAUGUAAAAAAUUUAUGAAUGAAUUUUUCAUUAUGAAUAUGCAUAAGGGUACAUCUAUGGAAAUGGUUUGAGAUGCAAGUAAAGCAUAUAUGAGAGGUAUUUUGAUAUAUUUGAAUAAUAAACAGAGACAUAAACAGGGGAAAAAAAGGAAGGACCUAGAAGAGAAAA